rnacentral:rRNA from 1 species
UACGUAGGGGGCAAGCGUUGUCCGGAGUUACUGGGCGUAAAGCGCACGCAGGCGGUCUCUUACGUUUGGAGUGACAGUUGGUGGCUUAACUGCCAAAGUGCUUCGAAAACUGAGAGGCUUGAGGGCUUCAGAGGGACACGGAAUUCCGGGUGGAGUGGUGAAAUGCGUAGAUAUCAGGAGGAACACCGGUGGCGAAGGCGGGUCUCUGGGCCGUGACUGACGCUGAGGAGCGAAAGCGUGGGGAGCGAACAGG